rnacentral:rRNA from 1 species
UACGUAGGGGGCAAGCGUUAUCCGGAAUUAUUGGGCGUAAAGAGCGCGCAGGCGGUCUGCCAAGUCAGAUGUGAAAGAGGCCGGCUUAACCGGCAAGGGUCAUUUGAAACUGACAGACUAGAGUGCAGCAGAGGAUAGCGGAAUUCCCGGUGUAGUGGUGAAGUGCGUAGAUAUCGGGAGGAACACCAGUGGCGAAGGCGGCUAUCUGGGCUGCAACUGACGCUGAGGCGCGAAGGCUAGGGUAGCAAACAGG